rnacentral:misc_RNA from 1 species
GAUGAAGAACGCAGCGAAAUGCGAUAAGUAAUGUGAAUUGCAGAAUUCAGUGAAUCAUCGAAUCUUUGAACGCACAUUGCACCCCUUGGUAUUCCGAGGGGCAUGCCUGUUCGAGCGUCAUAUUAACCACUCCCGCUUGCGGGGUCUUGGGCUUCGCCUCCGGGCGGGCCUUAAAAUCAGUGGCGGUGCCGUCGGGCUCUACGCGUAGUAAAUUUUCUCGCGAUAGGGUCCCGGUGGAUGCUUGCCAACAACCCCCAACUUCUUAAGGUUGACCUCGGAUCAGGUAGGGAUACCCGCUGAACUUAAGCAUAUCAAUAAGCGGAGGA